AAAUAACGUUGCUCUUAAAGGACUCGCCAGUGUUUCAUUUCUCCCCGUCGGGCCGCUGACUCAGCGUCUCUCUGCUAUCGGGUCGGCCUGCGACCGGAAUGCUUCUUUAAGCUUCUGGAGAAGGAAAUGGAGACAACAUUAACGCAACGCCGUCCGGCGCUCCGGUGGAUUCAUCCCCUCGGGGAGUGACGAGCAGACCGAAGGCCACCGACACUUAAAUAACAGCCCCGUAAUCACAGGAAGCGGGUGGGGGGGGGAGGUGGCAUUUUCUCCGUUUCGCGUCUCGUUGCCCGGCCCCCCCGUCCGUCUCCCUCCUCUUCAUCUCACCUUUGCACUCGACAUCCGCCUGUUCCACUUCUCUUCUCACCUCCCUCCCCUCUCCUCCCCCCCUGCUCCCUUUCCCUCCCCAAGACAGCUUCAAUUUACGAAAUCCACAGAGGUGUUGAGAGGGCUUUUAAUGGCGCUGGUAUUUCUCCCCCAGUCAGCUGAGUGGGCCGCCUGGAGACUUUUUCCUGUAGUCUGAGUGAUUUCUCGCUGUGCACUUAAACGCUACAACCCCCCCCCCCCCCCCCCCCCUCCAUCCCCCCCGCCCCCCUCAAACACUCGCUUUCACAAAUAAGUUUGUUACAUCACAUAAUGCUCCCCCUCUGGCGGCGGGCUCUUUAUUUUUACACCCCGAGCCGCUAAUGUGAAGAUUAUUUUUAAUUUUUUUCCCCCCACCUGCUUUAAUUGUUCGCGUCGGCUCUUGAG
ensembl:lncRNA